rnacentral:rRNA from 1 species
UAUUAUUGAAUAAUUAAAUUAAAUUUAUCAAGGUAGUAAUAGAUAUGAUCUUGAAACUUAAAGAAUUUGGCGGUGUUUUAGUCUCUUCAGAGGAAUCUGUUCUAUAAUUGAUAAUACACGAAUGGAAUGACUUAAUUUUGUUAUCAGCUUGUAUACCGCCGUCGAAAUGAUUAUUUAAGGAGAAAUUCAAAUUUCUAAAAAGGUUAUUAUUUUAUAUGUCAGGUCAAGGUGCAGUUUAUAAUUAAGAGGAAAUGGAUUACAAUAUAAAAGUAUAUAACGAAUUUAUUGUUAAAUAAAAUAUAUGAAGGUGGAUUUGAAAGUAAAUUGGUUAUAAAUCAAUUGAUUAGAGCUCUAAAACAUGCACACAUCGCCCGUCGCUCUCGUUAUGUAAUGAG